UCUCAUUCUCCUCCCUCUCUCUCCAAUUAAUCUCUGCCGGCUCUUCUAUCUCUCUCCAUUGCAGCAGCCAUGAAGCUCCUACCCGAAGAAACACACACCGUGAAGCUCCUCUCCAUAGCUCUGCGGUCCUUUCUACAAGUAGCUGCGAGGCGUCAUCCUCUCUUUCUCUCACUGCAUCUCUCCCUCCAAACAUGUCUCUGAUCGCAAACGAAGAUUUCCAGCACAUUCUUCGUGUUUUGAACACGAAUGUGGACGGGAAUCGAGAUAUGAUCUUGUGAUGUUCGGUUAGGGUUCACUGAUUUUGAUAAUUAAUCUUGAUACUGGUUAGUGAUUUGGGGAAUCUGAUCGGAUUGUAUGCUCAAUGGCACUUGCGUUUGCUCCCUUACUAUUCGUUUGAUCAGUUCAUACACAAGGUGGAACAAGUAGGUGCCACCAAGCAUGUAUAGGUGAAUUAUGGAUGAAUUUGGAUGGUGACCUCUCUCCCACAUGUUUGAAUAUCUUGCCAUUACUUUCCUCUUCCUCACAGCUAUAAUGUUUUCAUGUCUUUAUUGCUUAACUACAUUAUAUCAUUUGUUUGAAAUUUAUAUUCUCAUGGCAAGCAGUUCCUGACAUAGCAUGUGUUGGUACAGGUCUUCAUCCUCUUUACAGAUUCUUCCUGCUAACUUUCUAUUACUCUUUGCUGUGAGUCCUUGAUCUCAUUGAACUCUUUCACAGUACUUACAAUUAGAAUUAUGAUUGGCAGAUCAUGGUUGGUAGCUAUUUGUUUCAAGAUCCUUAGUAGAUCGAUCCAGGCUACUUAUCAUGGUUCCCUACUUUGGCAGGCUAGGAAUGUGAUGUUGGCUUCGGUCCUGGGAGCGGCAUUUUGUUUCCCUCUUGAGUUUGGAGAGUGAGAAGAGGACCCCAUCAUCAUCUAGCAUAGGGCUUUUUGGAUUGACCUAAGGUGGCAACCAUCAGAAACCAUCUUCUUAGCGCAUUAGUGGUUCAUUCUAUAU